rnacentral:lncRNA from 1 species
AAGCUGAAAGAAUCUUGUCUAAGUACAUAAAUUUUGAAAGGCAAUGGAUGAGAACUGGAUUUUUAGUGAAUUUAACAAAUUUACUGCUCACUGCUGUUUUUCUGCAAUGAUAGCAGAAUUUUAAAACAUUUGUACAAUUUUCAGUUAUGGUCGGAAUGCCCCAGAACCAAGUUUUAUUUUCUAAACCCGUGAUUUUACAAUAACUAAAGGGAUUAAAGAGAGUAUAAUGACCAAUUAAGAAUGUUUACCUGGUAAAUAGUUAAGGAAAGUUUGAACGUUGUUAAAGCUGAGGGAACCCGUAAGGGUGGUUUUAGUGCUAUUUUAGAGGAGAUUAUGUCCUAAUUUCUAUAAAAGUUCAAGGACUUAGUUUAAUGAAGAUGUGUAAGUUGCCCCUAAGAAAGGUUAAAGUUAAAGAAAAUGAUAUUGAGAGAUAAAGUGAAGAAAGAAAAAUGAGGAACAAGGAAUGAAAUAAAAGUUGAGAAUUAUAUUGAAUGGGCCUUGUGCCGAACUGCUAAUGUGAAAGUGCCCGCCUAAUGGAUAGCCUGAGAUUGCUAAUGCGGGAAUGUUCGCCUAAUUGAUAGCACUGUUCCUUACUGUGAUACACAUUGAAAUGUUAUUAUAAUGAGACCUAAUUGACACGGGUAACCGUGAUGCCAAGGUGUCUAAUUGACACAGUAAAGGGACCAUACUCGGGGUUCACUCUGAGUAACGUCGGGUUGCGGGUAGAUAACCGACGCAUGAGCUCAUGGCCUGCGCUAGGAACAGGCAUGCAUCAUCUGGUUUGCGCAUAUGAACUUCUUGUGAAUUAUUUACUGCCAUUUCUUUCUUGUUCAUGCUACUUACUUGUUAUAAAUAUGUUUGUGCCUUGAGUCUCUGUGUUUGUUCUUUUUCUGUUUCGCGACAACUUAGAGAUAAAGACCCUAGGUUCCCCUUUUUCCUUACUGAGAACUCUAAGUUCUCACCCUUCUUUUCUUUCUUUUCCCCCUCCCCAGACGGGUCUGGCAGAGGAGCCCUGUGAGUUUCGUUCUAACCGCUGAGCUAUGAGGAUCCGGCGCGCGGCGAAGUCUUCAUAUGGAGCAUGUUUUGGACCUCUUUCUUGCACAAUGUUCGGAGAUCACUCCAGAGUUAGUCGCAGUGGAUCUUUCGAUCCUGUUUGAUGAUCUUAGUAUCACUUUCCCCUCACUUUUGUAGUACUUUUAGAGGGGUAGGACAUCUUAGUAGUUCGGUUCCAGCUUAGGAAACCCGUGUGAGGGUUGGGACUGAUUUCUUCUUUUGUAUCUGUACAUAUAACUUGGUGUGAUACUCGGCUUUGAUGGAUGACAUGUAUCCUUGAACUUAACUCAUGUGUAUAUUAUAUAUAUGUUUAUAUAUGUUAUUUUCUGUUGCCUUGUAUUUUCUUACACGACAACUCUGAAGAAACUAACCUUGCGAGCAACUAAACGCUAUUCCACGAGUAGUAAUCUGUUCACGAUUAAACCGAUAAAGGCUUUUAUUGAUAUUAAUUUAUAAAAAUUUGAGUCUAGAGCUAAGUAGGCCGCAUGACGAGUAACACCUGGACAUUUGGCAUUGGUCAUGACGUGUCGAAAGUUGGGGUGUUACAGUUGGUAUCAGAGCAGUUCGUCCUUUGAGCCUUGGGAUGGACUGUCUAUGCUUUCUUGCAUACUCUGAAUCUUUUUAUACUAUGCAAUUAGGAUAUUUUUGUAAUAUAUUCUGCAUGAAGGUCUGUGAACAUCCAUUGUAGUAAUAUUAAUACUUGAUUUUGAUAUAUUAAGACUGAUCACCUUAAUAUUGAUUAUUGGGUAUUGAUAGGACUCAAAUGGUUGCGAAUAGGCGAGGUCGCCCUCGAAUGGGAGGAACAAGUGAGGGAAAUUUCCCUGAUGCAGCGGCUAUUCUCGAAUCUGUAAAUGCUAUGGCCGCUGCUGUACGUGAAUCAGUAGCUUCUACUAACCGAGUAGCUGAACGUCUUGAUCGUCAGAAUGGAAUUGAAAAUAACCAUGGGCCUAGACAAGAAAAUGAAAAUGGCGAAGAAGGUGAAGCUGGACUACGUAACCGGCCCAUGACUCUAGCCACUUUCUUGAAGAUAAAUCCGCCUCAAUUCCAUGGGAACACUAGUGCUACACGAGCUGAUGACUGGUUUAAAGAAAUAGGACGAGCAAUGCGAGCCCAACAAGUCCCUGAAGGACAGCGAGUGGAAUUUGCUGCUUAUAUGUUGAGGAAUGACGCGCAACAUUGGUGGCAGGGAAUACUCCAACUACUAGGAAGAGAAGCUAUUGACAUCUCCUGGGAGGAAUUUUCAGUUGAAUUUUAUAAGAAGUAUUUUCCUGAGUGUUCUCGCACCGCUAAGGAAUUGGAGUUGCUUCAGUUGAAACAAGGAAACAUGACAGUCAGUGAGUACACUCGCAAGUUUGAAGAGUUAUGCCGGUUCUCGAACAUUUGUCAAGGAGCACUAGCUGCAUUCGAGAAAUGGAAGUGCAUCAAGUUCGAAGGAGGACUUAGAGAAGAACUGUUAGCUCAUGUGGGCCCGAUGGAAAUACAGAAUUUUGCAGAAUUAGUUAACAAGAGCCAACUGACGGAGGAAUGUGUAAAGAAGCUGGUGGCAGCACAAACUAAGCACAGAAACCUUCUAACAAGGGAUUUCAAUCGUAACCUCGCUCCUCAAGGAAGAAACUUCAAAGUAACUCGGCAGCCGGACUUAGGCAAACAAUUGCAAUCGACCCAACCAAGACUGAUAUGCACUGUGUGUGGAAGGAAUCAAGGGGGAAAACCCUGCUUGCUGAAGUCUGGGGUUUGCUAUAAUUGCGGAAAGCCUGGACAUAUAGCCAAAGAAUGCAUUCGACGAAAGCCUGAAUUUGGUUCCCCUGGACAGCAACAAGCAGGAAGGGUGUUUGUCUUGGAUGCGGGAAAUACUACCAAAACCGAUCCCCACACUCGAGGUAACGAAAUUUUGAGGACAAAAUUUUUUUUUAGGAGGGUAGAAUGUAACCACCCUACCCCAUAAGGCCUGUGAUUUUUUUUAUUCUUUACAGCGUUCACUGACACGCAUAGGUUUAUAUAUAAGUAGCAUAGAUAACGAAUUAGAAUUAGAACAUGUAGCGCAAAACUUUUCUUUUAGUGCUUCCAAGCGACGAACCUUUUUCCGAUUCAAUUAUUCUAUGGAAUAAGUAUUCCCUUGAACCAUAUUAGUUAGAUAAUUCAAAUUUUUGAACAAGUUUGAUUUCCCUUCUCCCGAUUCAACCAAACCAUGCUUUCCUUAAAUAACCCAGACCUAGAGAAACUCUGAUUAAACUCAUCUUCUCUUCUUCUCUCACAACCGAACGUGUUGUCCAAGAUCAUGGUUACCUCUUCAUGUAAUCAAUACUGUGAUGUGGUGUUGCAAGAGGAAGAGGUCACGAAGCCUUGUCACAUCAGCUCACCUCUUCCCACCUUCUGUAAAUAUAUAUAGAUGAGCCAAGUCUCUCAAUUUUCCUGAAAACCACACGAAGAGAAGAAAGGAAGCAAGAGUGGCGGCCAAGAAGAAGGAAGAGGAAGACCCAGCAGAAAUCAUCAUCAUCUGCGUGCGUCACCACCAAGAAGAAGGAGAAGGGUCAUCAAGAGAGCUGCUACCCGAAGCCAAAGAAGGAACCCUACCUCUUUCCUUUCCUGGUUUUCCUAGUGUUCCUCUUGUUGGGUAAGAACCAGUAACUUGUGUUCUGUUGAUUUUUCCUAAAUUAAAGAUUCUACCCUUAUUGAGCUCCAAUUCUUUUAAUUGGUAACCAAACCAAUCAAUUCAGCCCAUCACAAGAGUAAGAACUCUUCUCUUGCUCCAUAUGCAACUCGGCCAAUUAGCUAUAUGAAUUGACAAAUCUCUUUAAUUAUGUUUGUUAGGGUUUUCUGAUUUAAUAUAGCAAAGGACAGACUUUGGUUUGUGAAAUUCUCGAAGAGAGGUAAGGGAUAGUCUAUACAAGAUAUGUUACUUGCAGCUGUGUAUACUGCUUAUGAUUGAUGGUUUAUCAUGUGUUUAUUUGUUGAAAAGUGUAUAGUGAAUUUUUGUUAUGAUAAAGAUGCAGAAAAGUGAGUUUGAGUUAUGAGUGGGCCUUUGCAACAAGGGGUAAAUUAAUGAAUAUAAACUCUUAGAGCUGUGUUGAUUAUGCUAGCAACUUUAAUUAGUCAAAAGAAAGGUAAAAUUAUGGUUUUAGAUGAAUUCUAGGCAUGAAUAUAGGAUUUGGUAUGUGAGGUUGUUGGAAAUGCUUUGUGCAGAAUUUCUGCAGAAAUAUGCAUAAUUGGCAGUAAAACGAAUGAUUUUCUGGGAGUAGUACAAACCUAAUUUUUAGAUGAAAUUAUUUUUUUGUAAAACUUUAGUGUGUCUUGAACAUGCCAUAAAAAUUUCAGAGAAUUUGGCCAAGCGGUUUGGAAGAUAUGAUUUUUUGAAGUUUAGUGGUUGCUGCAGAUUUUUCUGGUUUUCUGGUUCUGCAGUACCAACUUUCAGAUGCUAUAACUUUUAAUUUAAACAGAAUUUUGAGUUGAUUCCAAAAGGAUUUUAAAGAUCUAUCAGUCUAUUUUAAGUGAGUACAAAUUUCAUGUUCAUAUCUAUUUUUUAGACUUUGAUAAGUCACUUGGAAAAUCAGUUGUUUGCUGGAAACUCUGAACUGGUUUAUGAAAACAGGGCUGUGUUCCUAAGCUCAUAACUUUUUCAUGUGACAUGAUAAUAAUCUAAAAUUUGGUUUUCUGGAAAGAUGAAAGAGUCUUGUCUAAUUAAAGAGAAUUGGAUGAGAACUGGAUUUUUAGUGAAUUUAACAAAUUUACUGCUCACUGCUGUUUUUCUGCAAUGAUAGCAGAAUUUUAAAACAUUUGUACAAUUUUCAGUUAUGGUCGGAAUGCCCCAGAACCAAGUUUUAUUUUCUAAACCCGUGAUUUUACAAUAACUAAAGGGAUUAAAGAGAAUAUAAUGACCAAUUAAGAAUGUUUACCUGGUAAAUAGUUAAGGAAAGUUUGAACGUUGUUAAAGCUGAGGGAACCCGUAAGGGUGGUUUUAGUGCUAUUUUAGAGGAGAUUAUGUCCGAAUUUCUAUAAAAGUUCAAGGACUUAGUUUAAUGAAGAUGUGUAAGUUGCCCCUAAGAAAGGUUAAAGUUAAAGAAAAUGAUAUUGAGAGAUAAAGUGAAGAAAGAAAAAUGAGGAACAAGGAAUGAAAUAAAAGUUGAGAAUUAUAUUGAAUGGGCCUUGUGUCGAACUGCUAAUGCGAAAGUGCCCGCCUAAUAGAUAGCCUGAGAUUGCUAAUGCGGGAAUGUUCGCCUAAUUGAUAGCACUGUUCCUUACUGUGAUACACAUUGAAAUGUUAUUAUAAUGAGGCCUAAUUGACACGGGUAACCGUGAUGCCAAGGUGUCUAAUUGACAAAGUAACGGGACCAUACUCGGGGUUCACUCUGAGUAACGUUAGGUUGCGGGUAGACAACUGACGCAUGAUCUCAUGGCCUGCGCUAGGAAUAGGCAUGCAUCAUCUUGUUUACGCAUAUGAACUUCUUGUGAAUUAUUUACUGCCAUUUCUUUCUUGUUCAUGCUACUUGUUAUAAAUAUGUUUGUGCCUUGAGUCUCUGUGUUUGUUCUUUUUCUGUUUCGCGAUAACUUAGAGAUAAAGACCCUAGGUUCCCCUUUUUCCUUACUGAGAACUCUAGGUUCUCACCCUUCUUUUCUUUCUUUUCCCCCUCCCCAAACGGAUCCGGCAGAGGAGCUCUGUGAGUUUUGUUCUAACCGCUGAGCUAUGAGGAUCCGGCGCGCGGCGGAGUCUUCAUAUGGAGCAUGUUUUGGACCUCUUUCUUGCACAAUGUUCGGAGAUCACUCCAGAGUUAGUCGCAGUGGAUCUUUCGCUCCUGUUUGAUGAUCUUAGUAUCACUUUCCCCUCACUUUUGUAGUACUUUUAGAGGAGUAGGACGUCUUAGUAGUUCGGUUCCAGCUUAGGAAACCCGUG